rnacentral:rRNA from 1 species
UACUCGAGUGGCGAACGGGUGAGUAACACGUGGGUGAUCUGCCCUGCACUUCGGGAUAAGCUUGGGAAACUGGGUCUAAUACCGGAUAGGAACCAUCUUUAGUGUGGUGGUUGGAAAGUUUUUUCGGUGUAGGAUGAGCUCGCGGCCUAUCAGCUUGUUGGUUGGGUAAUGGCCUACCAAGGCGGCGACGGGUAGCCGGCCUGAGAGGGUGUACGGCCACAUUGGGACUGAGAUACGGCCCAG